GUUAGCUAGCAAGAAAAGUAAGGUUAGCCUGCUAGCUGUUGCUCAGCUAGGCGUCAUGGUUCAAACAUUGGUGUCGACAGAACAUGAUGGACCUGCAGGGAGAGAGAUACAGCCACAGAACAGUGCACCGGGUUGGGGACUGCUCACUGUCAGCGGAUGGAGACUGAAACUUUAUUCCUGACAUACUGAGAAAUGUUCCUGACUCAGUACGACAUCCGGGGAGUUUUGGCAUACUGCAGAUUUUGCUCUUGUUCACUACAGACUGAAUUUUGGCCAGAUCAGUACGUACUGCUAGUAGGCAUACUGCAAGGAUAUCCUUGCAUCUGCCCACCGAGGUGAUAUAACAUCAUGUGAACAACAUCAACAUGUAA